rnacentral:rRNA from 1 species
GACGAACGCUGGCGGCGUGCCUAAUACAUGCAAGUCGAGCGGACGAAUCGAAAGCUUGCUUUUGAUUCGUUAGCGGCGGACGGGUGAGUAACACGUGGGCAACCUGCCCUGUAGACGGGGAUAACACCGAGAAAUCGGUGCUAAUACCGGAUAACACGAAAUGUCGCAUGACGUUUCGUUGAAAGACGGCGCAAGCUGUCGCUACAGGAUGGGCCCGCGGCGCAUGAGCUAGUUGGUGAGGUAACGGCUCACCAAGGCGACGAUGCGUAGCCGACCUGGGAGGGGGAUCGGCCACACUGGGACUGAGACACGGCCCAGACUCCUACGGGAGGCAGCAGUAAGGAAUCUUCCGCAAUGGACGAAAGUCUGACGGAGCAACGCCGCGUGAGAGAAGAAGGCCUUCGGGUCGUAAAGCUCUGUUGUUAGGGAAGAACAAGUAACGCAGUAACUGGCGUUACCGUGACGGUACCUAACGAGAAAGCCACGGCUAACUACGUG